rnacentral:rRNA from 1 species
GACGAACCUGACGAACGUUAUUCGGAAUCACUGGGCUUAAAGGGUGCGUAGGCUGUGCAGAAAGUUGGGUGUGAAAUCCCUCGGCUUAACCGAGGAACUGCGCCCAAAACUACUGUGCUUGAGUGAGAUAGAGGUGAGCGGAACUUAGGGUGGAGCGGUGAAAUGCGUUGAUAUCCUAAGGAACACCGGUGGCGAAAGCGGCUCACUGGGUCUCAACUGACGCUGAGGCACGAAAGCUAGGGGAGCGAACGGG